AUUGAACGCUGGCGGCAGGCCUAACACAUGCAAGUCGAGCGGAUGAAGGGAGCUUGCUCCUGGAUUCAGCGGCGGACGUGUGAGUAAUGCCUAGGAAUCUGCCUGGUAGUGGGGGAUAACGUCCGGAAACGGGCGCUAAUACCGCAUACGUCCUGAGGGGGAAAGUGGGGGAUCUUCGGACCUCACGCUAUCAGAUGAGCCUAGGUCGGAUUAGCUAGUUGGUGGGGUAAAGGCCUACCAAGGCGACGAUCCGUAACUGGUCUGAGAGGAUGAUCAGUCACACUGGAACUGAGACACGGUCCAGACUCCUACGGGAGGCAGCAGUGGGGAAUAUUGGACAAUGGGCGAAAGCCUGAUCCAGCCAUGCCGCGUGUGUGAAGAAGGUCUUCGGAUUGUAAAGCACUUUAAGUUGGGAGGAAGGGCAGUAAGUUAAUACCUUGCUGUUUUGACGUUACCAACAGAAUAAGCACCGGCUAACUUCGUG
rnacentral:rRNA from 1 species